rnacentral:snoRNA from 1 species
CGGCCGAUGUGGACGUGAUGAGUUUGUUCAUGUCUCUUCUCUGACUCAUUCCAUUCCUGGAGAGGACUUAUACGGAUCUGAUCCCCUGGCCU